AUACUCCUCCCUCCGUUUUAAAUUACUUGUCAUCGAAAUGGAUGUAUCUAGAACUAAAAUAAAUCUAGAUAUAUUCAUACCUGCGAUAAGUAAUUUGGAACGGAGGAAGUACCUA
rnacentral:pre_miRNA from 1 species